GAUAUAGAAAUCAAUUCUAUGGGGUUCUUGUUUCUAUGUUGUCCUCUGUCAAAACAUGUAUAGAUUUAUAAGUGCAUUUUUUGAUUAUUUGUCCAUAUCCUGCUGGGGAAGACUGCCUACGUCUGUUAAAAAGUAAGUGUCCAGUUAAGAGUGCGGUAGAAUGUCUUUGUUGUGAGAACGUUGUUUAUUCUCAGACGUCCUAAAGCAUCUGCCCUCCCCGUUGUUCUUCUCCGUUCAGCCCGGACGAGACGGUGCCCCCGAGAGGAGGCCAGAGGAGCUGAGGCCAGUGGAGGUGAGGCCCGAGGAGCUGAGUCCAGUGAAGGUGAGGCCCGAGGAGCUGAGUCUAGAGGAGGUGAGGCCCGUGUCUAACAAGGCAGAGGGUGCAGCCUGCAAGCUGGUUCUGGAGAGAGCCCUUAGCAAGACGAUGCUCCCCGUUAAUGUGGCUCAGCGCGUUGCUUCCAAUCAUUAGUGACGCCUUGUAUCUGAGCGAAGUGGAGGAACACUGGUGAGAGCAGACAGUCCUUUUGUUUUGCUGCACUGAUUAGAAUCCACCAAGAAAGCACGAGAAGGGAAGGAAGUGUUGUAGGUGUUCAGAAAGAAAAAUGCAAAGCACAAUGCAAUAGACUAAAUAUUUGAACAAUGCCUGCAGACGCACAGGAAUGCCAUCUAGGGAUGACGAAGGAAAGCGAUCCGGCUUUCAGGGGAAGUUCUCAGCAGUCCACUGUAUUUUGACUGGAAUGAGUCAGAUAACACGGUGCAUAAUUUUCUAUGUUUAUAUAAUUAUUUUAGUGAAUUUGUCGGCCUGUUAGAGCUUUGUUAUUCAGAGACGUUUGCUCUAAAAUGCCAUUGUGUCUGGUGGUCUGAAUGAGGCACACACUGUAUCCAACAGAUAUUAAUAUAUCCACUAAAGGCCAUCGCUGAAACAGCUCUGUGAAACAUGCUAUAAAUACUAGGAGGCUUAAAAAAAAGAGGGAAAUGGCCUCCACACACCUGUAGUCCAUUAUUCCCACUGCGUGCUGUAUCUCCUCUAACAGACUCGUCAAUUAGCUCAGUGGGAGUUCUCAC
ensembl:lncRNA